CGGGGGACAUGCAGACUCCCCGCGAGACUUCGCGUCCAAGUUCUGC
rnacentral:ncRNA from 1 species